rnacentral:rRNA from 1 species
CAGCAGCCGCGGUAAUACCGGCGGCCCGAGUGGCGGUCACUCUUAUUGGGCUUAAAGCGUCCGUAGCCGGGUUGAGAAGUCCUCCGGGAAAUCUGGCCGCUUAACGGUCAGAAUGCCGGAGGAUACUCCCAGCCCAGGGAGCGGGAGAGGCCGAGGGGAUUCCCGGAGUAGGGGUGAAAUCCUAUAAUCCCGGGAGGACCACCUGUGGCGAAGGCGCUCGGCUGGAACGCGUCCGACGGUGAGGGACGAAGGCCAGGGGAGCAAACCGGAUUAGAUACCCGGGUAGUCCUGGCUGUAAACGAUGCGGACUUUGUGUCGGACAAGCUAUGAGCUUGUCCGGUGCCGGAGGGAAACCGUUAAGUCCGCCGCCUGGGGAGUACGGCCGCAAGGCUGAAACUUAAAGGAAUUGGCGGG